rnacentral:lncRNA from 12 species
UCAAAAUCCCCCAGCAGUGAUGCCUAAUAUUUGAAGAAAAGAAAAAGUAAUGAAGAAGGAAGGAAGGAGUUCAUUGGCAUGUGCAACUUAGGCUUCCAAAGGUGCAUGACAAAGGCAGCAGGGGGUGCAGUGCUAAACAUCUGGACAACUCUUGAGCUGGAGCAGAGCUCUCUGCAUUGCUGCCCAUACAUAAACCAGCACAGGAGAGUCUACUUGCACUCCCAUCACUGGUGUGAUAGAUAGGUACAUUCC